GUGCUUCUCGCAGCUACAACUGGA
rnacentral:siRNA from 1 species